UACAGAGGUCCCAAGCGUUGUUCGGAUUCACUGGGCGUAAAGGGUGCGCAGGUGGCAUGGUAAGUUUGAUGUGAAAGCUUCGGGCUUAACCCGGAAAUGGCAUUGAAUACUAUUGAGCUGGAGGUUUGGAGGGGGGACUGGAAUUCUCGGUGUAGCAGUGAAAUGCGUAGAUAUCGAGAGGAACACCAGUGGCGAAGGCGAGUCCCUGGACAACACCUGACACUGAGGCACGAAAGCUAGGGGAGCAAACAGG
rnacentral:rRNA from 1 species